rnacentral:rRNA from 1 species
GACGAACGCUGGCGGCGUGCUUAACACAUGCAAGUCGAACGGAAAGGCCCUGCUUUUGUGGGGUGCUCGAGUGGCGAACGGGUGAGUAACACGUGAGUAACCUGCCCUUGACUUUGGGAUAACUUCAGGAAACUGGGGCUAAUACCGGAUAGGAGCUCCUGCUGCAUGGUGGGGGUUGGAAAGUUUCUGCGGUUGGGGAUGGACUCGCGGCUUAUCAGCUUGUUGGUGGGGUAGUGGCUUACCAAGGCUUUGACGGGUAGCCGGCCUGAGAGGGUGACCGGCCACAUUGGGACUGAGAUACGGCCCAGACUCCUACGGGAGGCAGCAGCGGGGAAUAUUGCACAAUGGGCGGAAGCCUGAUGCAGCAACGCCGCGUGCGGGAUGACGGCCUUCGGGUUGUAAACCGCUUUCGCCUGUGACGAAGCGUGAGUGACGGUAAUGGGUAAAGAAGCACCGGCUAACUACGUG